CUUGUUUAUCCACAAAGUAUGUCUGUAAUUUUGAAGCAUUUUCCCAAAAUCUUUAUUCACUGACUCUCGUUGAGAUUUGUUUUGUAUUCUGUGGGUAGCUUGUUUGCCUGAGCAGGCGCCCUGCAGGAGGUAGGACUCGCUGGGAUCGGAUGUUUUUGAUUAACUGCUUUCUGGACAGCAAGAAGCCGAGAAGCUUGAGUGGUGAAAAGGGAGAAAGGCCAGAGCCGCCCGCUUGGAGCAGUCAGGAUGGGGACACACUGAAUUUCCUCAGUUAGUAUAGGAAGAAAACCAGAACGGCAAAGGGUUGCCAGUCGUGGUGGGAAUCACCAGGGGCCUGCGAUACGAUAUUAUCACGACACUUAAAUAAUGCAGUUUGAUAAUGCAGUAAAAUCGGUUGAGCAGUCCAGCAGACAGACUUGAUCUUUGUUUCGACCGACAUCCUAACAAUCCGCUGACUUUACCCCCGACCGCAUGAGACAGUACUCAUCAGCAUGUCUGUGUACGGACACAAACUUACCAAGCAGUCCAUCACGAUACUCCUGCCCUGUCAACAUCUUAAUCCACUAUUUGGCAGACAGUUCCCCCCCCUCACAAAGGUGCAAUCAAACUAGGCAAUUUGCUGGUGCUGCGUUGCUGCAUGCAGUUUAGGACAUUCAGAUUCUCAAUAAAUUCCCUUCAAAUAACAACUGCUGGAAAACUCUCACAGAUAUUGAAUACAAUGGAGGAAAGCGUUUUACAUUUCAUGGUUUGCUUUAUAGUUUUCCACUCUCCUCCAGUUCUCAUUGGACACAUCCUGUCACUGGAUAUCAAAUCUGUUUUAGAAAAAUGGCCUGGCUGUCAAAUGUGAACAUGUGAAACUCAGACUGCAACUACAUAAUGUCACUCAUGAAAGAGCCCUGCCCACGCGCAGCUAGCGCCCUGGAUCCUCUGCGGUGACCUUCAGCAUGUAUCAGAUUCCGACACCUUCGUCAGAGACCCAACAGCACGUAUCAAUUUUAGUUAAGAGUUGUGUUGGUUUUGGACGUGAAAAGAAAUUGAUUGAAAAAGAACCAAAUCACCCAAUGAAAACAAACUCUUUCAAGAGCUAACACUGCAGUCCACUCCAACAGCUCAUCGCUCUUGCAAAGGGAGAAAAUCCUGGCAACGUGUGGUUUGUUUCCGAUUCCCUUUUGAAUCUGCUUCGAGGUAUAAAAGUCAGAAUACUAAAUAAUUCAAAUUCAGCAAAAAAUAUCAAGCACUUCCUCUUGUGGUGUGUAGUCUGCCUUUUGUUUCGAUUUAAAGACAGUCCAGAAAUGAUGAAACUUUAUACAAUAUUCAUCAUGAGAAAUAUUCAGGUAUGGGUCUUCCUAAAAUAUCGACUAACAGUAAAACAGCAAGCAAAUCUAAACCUAAAUGUCUUGAUUAAUGACUAUCAGACGUGUGUUUGGUCUGACUGAACGUAUGUGUGAGACUGCUCCGGAGGUGUAUUUCCCAACCAGCCUCACUCACUGUGGUCCGUCAUUACAUGCAUUAGCAUGAUCUUACUGUGAUUUGCAUCUCCCUGUGAGCGUGUGGCUUUUCUAACACAGUAUCCAAUUCUCUCUCAAUUGUUGCCCGCAGGCCAGAGAACAUUUGACUGGGUAUAUUGUGGACUUUAGUUCUUUUUGCGAUCGCACAUGGUUGUUUUUGCCCAAAGAAUGUUGAAUGAAAAGGACAAGCUACAUUUCAGCACAUUAAUAGUUACAUUAAGACUAAAUAAAGUGUUGACCCAAGUCAAGAACACAGACUCUGGAUUUUAUUAUCUCGGAUCUGCCUCCAAUGGAGCGCUUGUUGUCAGUAACAGGUCAUUUGAGAAACUUAUAUAAAGCUUGUAAUGGCAUUAAAGUGAUUUACAAUGUAACAUUGAGACAGUGUAUAACAAGAAAGACAAGGCACAGAACUCUUAAAAUCAACUGUUGAAUAAAACAUCAAAAAAGCAGACACCCUGGACAUAUGAAUAACUAUAUAUUCUCCACUGCAGCCAAUAGCACACAUGAUAUAGCAAAGUAGAGACUACACAUCUUUCACACAGCAUGUGGGACGGACUUUGAUUGUUGCCGCAACAAAGUGGUUUGUUGUAAAUUAUUCGUAUGGACAACGUCCUCCAUGAAAAGUCCUCAACAAUCUGCUCCAAGUCUAAUACCUCUGUGUCUCAAAUCACAGUGGAACCAGUUCUCACCACGUCCCUCACCCAAUGGUACCAGUCCUCAUCAUAUCGCUUUCCCAGUGGUACCAG
ensembl:lncRNA